AUUGAACGCUGGCGGCAGGCCUAACACAUGCAAGUCGAGCGGCAGCGGGAAAGUAGCUUGCUACUUUUGCCGGCGAGCGGCGGACGGGUGAGUAAUGCCUGGGAAAUUGCCCAGUCGAGGGGGAUAACAGUUGGAAACGACUGCUAAUACCGCAUACGCCCUACGGGGGAAAGCAGGGGACCUUCGGGCCUUGCGCGAUUGGAUAUGCCCAGGUGGGAUUAGCUAGUUGGUGAGGUAAUGGCUCACCAAGGCGACGAUCCCUAGCUGGUCUGAGAGGAGGAUCAGCCACACUGGAACAGAGACACGGUCCAGACUCCUACGGGAGGCAGCAGUGGGGAAUAUUGCACAAUGGGGGAAACCCUGAUGCAGCCAUGCCGCGUGUGUGAAGAAGGCCUUCGGGUUGUAAAGCACUUUCAGCGAGGAGGAAAGGUUGAUGCCUAAUACGUAUCAACUGUGACGUUACUCGCAGAAGAAGCACCGGCUAACUCCGUGCCAGCCGCCGCCGUAAUAC
rnacentral:rRNA from 1 species